ensembl:snRNA U4 U4 spliceosomal RNA
AGCUUUGUGCAGUGGCAGUAUCGUAGCCAAUGAGGUUUAUCCGAGGCACGAUUAUUGCUAAUUGAAAACUAUUUAUUCUGAGAGAG